rnacentral:rRNA from 1 species
CCUACGGGAGGCAGCAGUGGGGAAUUUUGCGCAAUGGGCGAAAGCCUGACGCAGCAACGCCGCGUGGAGGAUGAAGGCCUUCGGGUCGUAAACUCCUGUCAGGGGGGACGAAAGCCGCGCAAGCGGUUUGACUGUACCCUCUGAGGAAGCCACGGCUAACUCCGUGCCAGCAGCCGCGGUAAUACGGAGGUGGCAAGCGUUGUUCGGAAUUACUGGGCGUAAAGGGCGCGUAGGCGGCUUGGCAAGUCAGAUGUGAAAGCCCCGGGCUUAACUUGGGAAUUGCAUCUGAAACUGCUUUGCUUGAGUCCUGGAGGGGGUAGUGGAAUUCCCAGUGUAGCGGUGAAAUGCGUAGAUAUUGGGAGGAACACCUGCGGCGAAGGCGGCUACCUGGACAGUGACUGACGCUGAGGCGCGAAAGCUAGGGGAGCAAACGGGAUUAGAUACCCCGGUAGUCCUAGCCGUAAACGAUGGGCACUUGGUGUUGGGGGUAUUGAGUCCCCCGGUGCCGGAGUUAACAUAUUAAGUGCCCCGCCUGGGGAGUACGGUCGCAAGACUGAAACUCAAAGGAAUUGACGG